rnacentral:rRNA from 1 species
GGGAGCCUAUACAGGUGUUGCAUGGCUGUCGUCAGCUCGUGUCGUGAGAUGUUCCGGUUAAGUCCGCUUAACGAGCGCAACCCUCGUCGUAUGUUAUAUGUGUCAUACGAGACUGCCGGUAAAAAGCCGGAGGAAGGUGAGGAUGAUGUCAAGUCAGCAUGACCUUUAUAUCCAGGGCUACACACACGCUACAAUGGUCUGUACAAUGGGUAGCCAAGCCGCGAGGCGGAGCCAAUCCUGAAAGCAGGCCUCAGUUCAGAUUGCAGUCUGCAACUCGACUGCAUGAAGCCGGAGUUGCUAGUGACCGCAGGUCGGCAAUACUGCGGUGAAUACGUUCCCGGGUCUU